AUGUCUCACCCCUGCCCUGAUGCCACCAUGGAAACCAGACUUCUCAGCUGUAUAGCCAUUUGCCUCCUGGGAGCAGGUCUGACAGAUGGCAUCGUUCUCCAGACCCCAAGAUACCUGGUCAAAGGCACAGGACAACCAGUGGAACUGAGAUGUGACCAGGACCAGAAUUAUGAUACGGUGUACUGGUACCAACAGAAACUAGGACAGGAGCCAAAGCAACUUCUCUAUUCCUAUAAGUUGUCAGAUAUUACCAAGGAAAAGGGCACCUCUGAUAACUUCCAAGCCAGCCGGCCAAACAUUAAUCUCUGUUACCUUAAUGUCAGUUCCCUGAGUUUGGGAGACUCAGCUGCCUACCUCUGUGCUGUCAGCAUACACAGUGCAGUAGAGUCCCCUCCUCUCUGA